AUAAUGAAACAUGUUCAGGAUGGUUUGUUUUUCUUCCACACAGUCUAUGCAAGUCAGAAUCAACCUCCAUCCGCCUCCAUCCUUUAUGAGACCUAAGACGUGAUGCAGCUCCAAUGGGAAAUAUCAGUUGUGUCUCUACCAAGGAUGCAGAAAAAGACAAGAUUCAGGCUUGUUUCCGGUAAGAAACGCUGACAGAAAUUCAGAAGAACGGGAGCUGCAUUCCAUUAGGACUUGAAUACACGAAAUGUUCGUCUCAGGACCUUCUAGAAGAAUGAGCUGGGACCCACUUUCCGAGUCCUGCUGGAACCAGUGACCAAGAUAUCGGCCUGCACUAGGGUACCUACCUCCUUUUCGGAUAGACUGUAUUCCCGGUAAUUGCGUCCUCUGGAAAAAUGAGCUGAAAUUCUAAAAGACAAAGUUAACACAAAUGCACUUUGAUGUCUGCUGUAAGUUUCCAUGUUUUAGCUGUACCUGUGACACAGGACAUGAGAGAACGUGCUCAUGUGAACACAAGUGAAGGACACCGUGGGGACUUGCCACACAGGUUCAUCUCCUAGCCAGAAUCAAGAAAGGAAGACACAGCAGCCACACUGUUCCCACAGAGGUGAGGUCUGGAAGGGAUCACCCAGGCCGGGAGACAUCUGUUUGGAGUGUGCAGUCAUCCUCCUCUCAUUAUUUCCUGAAACUCACGGAAAAACCUUAAGGCAGCCUCUUUGGUUCCAUCCCAUCCAGUCUUGGAUACAGAAAAAUAAUGGACUUCUAUAAGAGUUGCAACACCACGUCGUCUACUAGACAACUAACAGUGCAGGCGUCAUCCCUGGAAACACCCAUAAAAACGCAAGUCAAAUGACCACACCUGCAUUUCAAGGUUGCAAAGACGAGGGCCAUGAAAUGGCACUACCACGUUGAUGGGUAUGAUUCAUUGUACGACACACUGCUUUCCUACAGAUGACGACAAUUGACACCACCCCCGAGGAAUGUUAGCAUGGACAAAGUUUCCACACA